GGCCUCCUGGCGCUUACUAUAAGCUGUAUUUUUACACAGCCUGCAUAAAAAGAGGAGGCAAAGUAAACCUACACCACAUAUACAGCUCAGCCCAGGCCCUGUACCUGGUCUGUACUGUGACUGGAGAGACAUGC
rnacentral:snoRNA from 1 species